UACGGAGGGUGCAAGCGUUAUCCGGAUUCACUGGGUUUAAAGGGUGCGUAGGUGGGCAGGUAAGUCAGUGGUGAAAUCUCCGGGCUUAACCCGGAAACUGCCAUUGAUACUAUCUGUCUUGAAUACCGUGGAGGUGAGCGGAAUAUGUCAUGUAGCGGUGAAAUGCUUAGAUAUGAACAUAGAACACCAAUUGCGAAGGCAGCUCACUACGCGAAUAUUGACACUGAGGCACGAAAGCGUGGGGAUCAAACAGG
rnacentral:rRNA from 1 species